rfam:Hafnia alvei FB1, complete genome.
AUUUCUCUGAGGUGUUCGUGUGCGGGCCAGUCCCCUGAGCCGAUAUUUAAUACCUCAAGAAUGCGGCGGAUCCGUAAUCGGUGAGCACGCUCGGUCUCCGAGAAGCCUUAAGAUUGCGUCGUUGCGUUCACCUUGAACCAUGGGUUCAAGGGUUACAGCCUGCUGCGGCACCUCGGAGAUUCC